rnacentral:ncRNA from 1 species
GAAACCUCAUCUUGCAAGCGCCAUCCGGGCGCCAGAGCAGUGUUUUUUAUAAAACACGGACAUUCCCGUCCGGGUGAGGAGAAAGG